UAUCUUCUUCUUUUUUGU
rnacentral:sRNA from 1 species